rnacentral:piRNA from 1 species
UCGGAGUGUUUUGUAUACUUGUGUUCCAU